rnacentral:lncRNA from 1 species
CGCAUUUUCCUAGGCAACUAACUGCUAAAUUCCAAGCGGUGGCUGAGGAAACAAAUAGAAGGUUGCUUGCAAAGUCCAAGCGGUGACCGAUCGAAAACAAGGAGAAGCUAUCUGCCAAUGUCUUUGGGCGGUGGCCGAGAGGAAAACAAAAACUUCAAAUCCUUUACUUUCCAACCCAACACCGAGAGUAAAACUGAGAGAGUGGGAGAGAAAGGUUAGCUAGCUACAUCACCAACUAACCAAAAACAAGGAGGAGUACAACGAGGAAAGCAGGAGAAGCUCGAGCUAGGACCUUGAGGAACCGAAUCAGGGAGAGCUAGAGCAGUCGGCAAUUUCAGAUUCUAAGCAGGAGGAUUUUGUAUACCUCCUGCUUAUUUAGUGUAAUUGAAUGUUUAAGCUGUGUAUAAACUUUAGCUAGGAAAAAAAUGAGUUCUUGGUUGGAAAAAGAAACUUUGUGCAGAACCGAAUGGCAGCUGGAAAGAAAAUUGCAGAAAUGGGGAAUGGAAACUAGAAAUCGUAGCUUGUUAUCAAUGUUUCUUUGGAGAAUAAUGAUAGGAAAUUCAUGUUAUGCAUUACCUUAAGUUUUAUAAGAAGUUUAAUCAGCUAAACAUGGGCUUUAUACGUUGGGUUAGCAACGAAAUGAGUUCUGGUUCAAGGAAAACAUUAUACAUCAGAUAUAGUAAUUAAGAGCAGAAAUGAGCUAUGGUUCUGUU